AUUGAACGCUGGCGGCAUGCCUUACACAUGCAAGUCGAACGGCAGCACGGGAGCAAUCCUGGUGGCGAGUGGCGAACGGGUGAGUAAAGUAUCGGAACGUGCUCAGUCGUGGGGGAUAACGUAGCGAAAGUUACGCUAAUAACGCAUACGAUCUAUGGAUGAAAGCGGGGGAUCGCAAGACCUCGCGCGAUAGGAGCGGCCGAUAUCAGAUUAGGUAGUUGGUGGGGUAAAGGCUCACCAAGCCGACGAUCUGUAGCUGGUCUGAGAGGACAACCAGCCACACUGGGACUGAGAGACGGCCCAGACUCCUACGGGAGGCAGCAGUGGGGAAUUUUGGACAAUGGGCGAAAGCCUGAUCCAGUCAUGCCGCGUGCAGGAUGAAGGCCUUCGGGUUGUAAACUGCUUUUGUACGGAACGAAAAGGUUUGGGCUAAUAAGCUGAGCUCAUGACGGUACCGUAAGAAUAAGCACCGGCUAACUACGUGCCAGCCGCCGCCGUAA
rnacentral:rRNA from 1 species